rnacentral:rRNA from 1 species
UACGAAGGGGGCUAGCGUUGUUCGGAUUUACUGGGCGUAAAGCGCACGUAGGCGGAUCUUUAAGUCAGAGGUGAAAUCCCAAGGCUCAACCUUGGAACUGCCUUUGAUACUGGGGAUCUUGAGUCCGGGAGAGGGAUGUGGAAUUCCAGGUGUAGCGGUGAAAUGCGUAGAUAUCUGGAGGAACACCGGUGGCGAAGGCGGCAUCCUGGACCGGUAUUGACGCUGAGACGCGAAAGCGUGGGGAGCGAACAGG